rnacentral:rRNA from 1 species
GACGAACGCUGGCGGCGUGCCUAAUACAUGCAAGUAGAACGCACAGUUUAUACCGUAGCUUGCUACACCAUAGACUGUGAGUUGCGAACGGGUGAGUAACGCGUAGGUAACCUGCCUGGUAGCGGGGGAUAACUAUUGGAAACGAUAGCUAAUACCGCAUAAUAUUGAUUAUCGCAUGAUAAUUGAUUGAAAGAUGCUAUUGCAUCACUACCAGAUGGACCUGCGUUGUAUUAGCUAGUAGGUGAGGUAACGGCUCACCUAGGCGACGAUACAUAGCCGACCUGAGAGGGUGAUCGGCCACACUGGGACUGAGACACGGCCCAGACUCCUACGGGAGGCAGCAGUAGGGAAUCUUCGGCAAUGGACGAAAGUCUGACCGAGCAACGCCGCGUGAGUGAAGAAGGGUUUCGGAUCGUAAAGCUCUGUUGUAAGAGAAGAACGGGUGUGAGAGUGGAAAGUUCACACUGUGACGGUAUCUUACCAGAAAGGGACGGCUAACUACGUG